UACGUAGGGCGCAAGCGUUAUCCGGAAUUAUUGGGCGUAAAGAGCUCGUAGGCGGUUUGUCGCAUCUGCCGUGAAAGCCCGGGGCUCAACUCCGGAUCUGCGGUGGGUACGGGCAGACUAGAGUGAUGUAGGGGAGACUGGAAUUCCUGGUGUAGCGGUGAAAUGCGCAGAUAUCAGGAGGAACACCGGUGGCGAAGGCGGGUCUCUGGGCCGAUACUGACGCUGAGGAGCGAAAGCAUGGGGAGCGAACAGG
rnacentral:rRNA from 1 species